rnacentral:lncRNA from 1 species
GGUGGGUCAUGUGCUCCCAGCAGGAAGAGGCUGGAUGUAGAAGCUCCCUAAGUGAUAAGCCAGGUAGUACCUGGGCCAGAAAUCGAUGCUGUGGGUGUCCCCAGCGGGAGGCUCUGGGGAAUUCAUAAGUAUUUGACCACCUGCCACACCCAGAGGGCUCGAAAGCCAGGAGCCCCCCAGUUUCUUGAAGAAAACAAACUGCACAACGUGGAGCAUGGUUGGAGACAGAAUGUAGGGGCCAGUUUUCCAGGAAAAUUUAAUAGGCCCUGGGGCAUAAGACAGCCCUGCAGAACCUCGUCAUAGCCCCUCUCAAGUAGGGCACUCGAAUUAAUGAACGAACGAACGAACGAACGAAUGAGGCGAAGUCCUUCUCCCAAGUCCUCUCUCUC